UAUACAUUAAUUUGUGAUUUUGUUAACAGUAAAUCUAGAAAAAUCUAGAUUGCUCAAGGCAGUUCAGAGAAGAUAAUCUUCUAGACAAAGUAAGUCUAGAAUGAUCUAGGCUAGUCAGUAAUAAGCCUAGACUGAUCGGUCAAAUGUCUAGAGAGUUCUUAAAGUACGAACUCAGUUGAUAAGUUUAGUAGAAAGAAAGUUCUAGUCUAAAUACAUACUAGACUAUUCUAGAAAGAGUGUGGUCGGUCACUCACUGCCUAUAAAUAGGCAAGCUCCGGUUCAUUUUUGAAUCAAUCAAAAUCCAUAGAAAACUCAAGUGAGUGAAGUAAGAGUGAGAGUGAGAGCUAAACCAAGUGAGCCAAAGUUCCCUUGGUAAACAGACGUGUAAGCCAAAGGUGCUACACCAAACCUCUUGUAACAUUUCCAAUUUCAAUUAAUCAAAGCCUCACUUUACUUAAACCAAUCCUCUUUCAAUUAAAUCAUUUCCAUAAACCCAUCACACUUCCGCAUUGCGCCAACAAUAUUAAUCUCUUAAAUAUAAUUUCUUAUCAAGUGCUUUGGUCUUUUAAUUGACUUCUGCAGAACUAUUCAAUCGAAUGAUGGAGGUGUGGGAUAUUCACACAAAGAUGCUGGCCUUUGUUCUCUCUGGUAUGUGCAGAUGCGGAAAUUGAAGAUUAUGGAUUUGAGUACUUUGAGGAGGAACCGGAGGAGCAAGAUGUUGAUUUUGAGAACCGAUACUCUAAAGGAAAUUCUCCAGUGAUCCUCAUAACACAUCAACUUUCCAUAAGUACUCCUCCAACAAAAAUGGUGAUAAGUUGGAUUGCUGGAAGAAAGCAACUGAAACUCAGUUCUCAUUACUCGAUUUACUUGGUGAGGAAGUCCAGUGCGGGAGUGUCAUGUUGCCUUUUCAGUCGAAGGUGCCAAUGCAACAGAAAUUUAGGCUGGCUAAAUCCUACAUCAGAUAAAAUACCGAACAAGUUCAGAAAAUUGGUAUGUUAAAUCAGUCAUAAUUCAACUCUGCUACUCCGAGAUUAUCUUAAAGUCCUACAAUGUAUUAGUCGUCUCCUUUAAUUGUACAAGUUCAAUAAAGCAUUUACUAUGUCUAUUUUUGAUCUCUUGUAGAGAGUAUAAGUUAUGCGUAUGUAAUCCAUGGUGGAAGAGAGAAUAUUGUAAGAAUAUUAUUGGUUAACCAUAUGUUCAUCUGAAA